AGACCGCCAAAAAACGUGGAUGCUAAACACAGAGGGAAGAGCCAGCUCCCAUUCCCUCUCUGAGCCUUAGAUUUUUUUGAAUUCCGAGAGAGGUCAGGCCGGGGUCCCCUUCUUGGGUGAGCGUCCAGCCCUUUGAAGUUCAAACACUGAGAAGCCGAUAGGCAGCUGGCUGGCGUCACAGGAUCGAGCCGAGGACUGAAGGCGCCUCCUACCGGGAAUCCACCGCCUCCAGACGAAAAUAGGCUGCAAUCAAGUUCACUUCCAAAGGCGGAAUUCAUGGGUACAUAUGGUGUCCACGUGUGUACACCUGCAGAGUUGUAACAUGCGGGCAUUUCUCCCCUCAGCCCGCCAUUCUGGCUUCUUAACUUGCACCCUAACAGCUCGACAGAACCUUGGCGUCCACAAAAAGGACUUGAGGUGGGACAUGGAAGAACAGGGACCCCUCCUGGUUUGUCCACCCAGCCCACACCUCCAUUCCUCACCCAACCUACCACUUCAGAGCCGGGAAAAGACCUCAGAGAACAUCCGCUCCGACUCUACCGAGGCUCAGACAGGGUAAGGAGUUGGCCCCACGUCACACAGCCUGGUGUAUGUGGCAGAGCCUGGGUGACAGACAGUCAGCCCCACCAGGUCUUUCAGCUCCAACCUUGGUUAGAAGGGGAGGAAGGCUGGCACACCCAGCUGCUGCCAGGCACCGCCGCUAAUGUGCUGUAUUAGUGGCCGGGCCUGAAUCACUUGCCCAAUUUGGACGUGGGCAAGUUUCCAAAAUGUCCUGGUUGUUUCCUAUUGUCUAUUUUUAAAAAAUGAUGGCCUGUAAUCCCAGCACUUUGGGAGGCUGAGGUGGGUAGAUCACCUGAGGUCAGGAGUUCAAGACGAGCCUGAUCAAUAUGGUGAAACCCCGUCUCUACUAAAAAUACAAAAACUAGCCGGGCGUGGUGUCGCGUGUUUGUAGUCACAGCUACUUGGAAGGCUGAGACUGGAGAAUUGCUUGAACCUGGGAGGCGGAGGUUGCAGUGAGCCGAGAUUGCACCACUGCACUCCAGCCUGGGCGCCAGAACAAGACUCUGUCUCAAGAAAAUAAAUAAAUAAAAAUAAAUAAAAUUUAAAAAUUUAAAAAAGGUGGUGAUGAUGCAGGUGUGGUGCAAGAUUAGCUAUUAUAAGUACUCACCGAACCAGACCUUUCUAAGUCCCUAAAUUAUUACCUUGUUUUAAGUCAGGAGCUCACGGGGCUGAUGGGGCUGUCUUUACCCUUUAAGCCUAUAAUUUACAGAGCAAUAUUCUUCCAGGCAGAGGGGGUGGAUCCAGCUUCCAACCGUGCAGUACUUAAUAAUGAGGAGGUCUUUUUCGCCUUGGGGACAUCUGGCUUCAGGAAAUUUUACUGUAAACAGCUGGGUGUGACCAGCCAGCUUUAGGGCCAAGGCUGUAAUGGCCCAGUGGGUUCGAGCCCAGACUCCACAGAGAGCCAGUCUGCUGAGGCUGAGGUCCUAGCUGCCACUCACUAAGGUGGGACACUGGGAAAUCUAUGGAACACUCCGUGCCUCAGUUUCCCAUCUGACCAAUGGGGAAAACAAUGCUUACCCGAGAUUGUUGUGGAGACUAAAUGAGCAAAAACACAUACAGCUGUGAUUCUCAAUCAGGGAUGAUUUUGUUCCCCCAGGGACAUUUGGCAAUGUCUGGAGAAAUUUUGAGUUGUUCUGACUAGGUAGACAGAUGUUGUUACUGGCAUCUAGUGAGUAGAGGCCAGGGAUACUGCUAAACAUCCUAUAAGAAUGAUCUGGGCUUGGUGCGGUGGCUCAUGCCUGUAAUCCCAGCACUUUGGGAGGCCAAGGUGGGAGGAUUGCCUGAGCGCAGGAGUUCGAGACCAAUCUGGGCAACAAAGAGAGAUCCUGUCUCUACAAAAAUUAAAACAAAACAAAACAAAAACUGGCCCAGAAUGUCAGUAGUGCUCACUGAGAAAUGCUGGCGUAAAAGACAGUGUGAUGGUCCAAUCAGUAUUGGUGCUUAUCAGUCCUCAGCUCAAGGUUGGAUGUCCCUGAAUUCUCAGUUCUCUUUCUGGCACUUAUGUGAGCUGCUGGGUGCUUGGUCUUAAGUUUUUUCUCCUGUCUGAAUAUCAGGGGGCUCCUCUCCCCUGGAGUCUGCCUGCCCAGCCCCACCUGCAGGGGAGAGGAAGCCUGUGUUGGGAAAGAGGAGGCCCCUGCCGGGCCACUUUAGAGGAUCCACUGGCUUCGCACGUCCUAAGAGCCGCAGGGUGCUCUUGGGCUGCUGUUCUCUCACCUCUUAAGAGCGGAAAAUCCGUGCAUGCAUUGUGUCCUCAGGCCAUAAGCCUGGGUGGGCUGCCUCCACCCUUGGUGAGUUUGCAAUCCUAUCCAAGCCAAUGGGAUUCCACCCUGAGACUUUGCUAGAACCGCCUGGCAAGAGGGUCUCUCUUGUGCAGGGGUUGCUGGCUGAGACAGUGUUUGUCUUGUGACCAUUUUGCCAACAAAUGGGGACAAUCUGUCUGAGAAUUAACUGGUAUAAACGAUAGCAAACCCAAGAGGUGAAGAAGGCUGAGUGUCUUGAAAGCAACAUCGGACACCCUGGCGCCAGCUGUGUCCAAAGCCAGCUGUUGACCUUGAGUGUUCUUUACGUAUGCCGCUUCAUUCCCAUUUACUGUAUUUGCAAACCAUUCUUUGAGUGGGGUUUCAGUCACUGGUCACUGGCUGUAUUAGGCCAUUCUUGCAUUGCUAUAAAGAAAUCCCUGACACUGGGUAACUUAUAAGAAAAGAAGUCUAAUUGGCUCAUGGUUCUGCAGGCUAUACAGGAAGCAUGGUGCCAGCAUCCCCUUCUAGGGA
rnacentral:lncRNA from 1 species